rnacentral:rRNA from 1 species
UACGUAGGGUGCGAGCGUGUCCGGAAUUAUUGGGCGUAAAGGGCUCGUAGGCGGUUUGUCGCGUCGGGAGUGAAAUCCAUUGGCUUAACUGGUGGCUUGCUUUCGAUACGGGCAGACUGGAGGUAUGCAGGGGAGAACGGAAUUCCUGGUGUAGCGGUGAAAUGCGCAGAUAUCAGGAGGAACACCGGUGGCGAAGGCGGGU